GUUUGAGCGCCCGGGGGAAGAUGGCGGUUGGCUCCCCUCCCCCGCCGCCCUGGCCUCGCAGCGUUCCCACCGAGUUCCCCUCGAGGCGGGCGUGCAGCCUCCCUAAUCAGUCAAAUGUGCAAGAAGGCUGGCACUGAAAGAACACAAAGUGACCAGUGACAUCAUUUUGGCUGGUUGAGCUUGGUUGCCUUGGAUGGGGCCGCCCUCCUGAACACGGGUCCCUGCCGCCCUCUGAGCUGGCCUGGAUGCCACGCGUUCUUCCGAUGACGAAAAUAUGAAUUUGAGAAAACUGAUCGCAGAUGUCAUCUGAAGACCCGCUGAGAUUCCUGUCACUGGACUGAUUUCAGCGUCACUGUUAGCAUCAGCCGGGGCUCCAUUCUGUUCCUCUGUGCCCAUUUCUGGUUGCCUGAUAACGAUGAAAUGUUUUCUUUGGUUGCGUUUUUACUCCUUAUUGUUAUGCAUAGAAAAUGAAAACUUCCGAAUU